rnacentral:rRNA from 1 species
GACGAACGCUGGCGGCGUACCUAAUACAUGCAAGUCGAGCGGACUUGACAGAGCUUGCUCUGUUCAAGUUAGCGGCGGACGGGUGAGUAACACGUGGGCAACCUGCCCUGCAGAUUGGGAUAACUCCGGGAAACCGGGGCUAAUACCGAAUAACAUUGAAAACCUCAUGGUUUUCUUUUAAAAGGCGGCUUCGGCUGUCACUGCAGGAGGGGCCCGCGGCGCAUUAGCUAGUUGGUGAGGUAACGGCUCACCAAGGCGACGAUGCGUAGCCGACCUGAGAGGGUGAUCGGCCACACUGGGACUGAGACACGGCCCAGACUCCUACGGGAGGCAGCAGUAGGGAAUCUUCCGCAAUGGACGAAAGUCUGACGGAGCAACGCCGCGUGAGUGAAGAAGGUUUUCGGAUCGUAAAACUCUGUUGUUAGGGAAGAACAAGUACCGGAGUAACUGCCGGUACCUUGACGGUACCUGACCAGAAAGCCACGGCUAACUACGUGCCAGCAGCCGCAGUAAUAC